GCCGGGUGCAGUGGCGCAUGCCUGUAAUACCAGUCGAUCGGGAGGCUGAGACAGGAGGAUCAUGAGUUCAAAGCUAGCCUCAGCAAAAGUGAGGUGCUAAACAACUCUGUGAGACCCUGUCUCUA
rnacentral:sRNA from 1 species